rnacentral:lncRNA from 1 species
AUUUUUUAAUAUUUAUUUUUUAGUUUUCGGUGGACACAACAUCUUUAUUCUAUUUGUAUGCGGUGCUGAGGAUCAAACCCAGCACCCAGUGCAUGCCAGGCGAGCACUCUACCGCUUGAGCCACAUCCCCAGCUCCUCAUCUUUUUAUAAGGCACAUACUCUUGGGAUAAGGAACCUACUCCCAUGAUAACGCCAUUAAUCCAGGCGUGAGGACAGAACCCUGGUGACCUAGUCACGUCUUAAAGUUCCCACCUCUUAACCCAGUUAAAAAUGACAACUAAUUUUGAUGUAAAUUUGGGAGGGGGUGCAGAUGUUCAAACGAUGAUAUCAGGCUGCCAUAACAAAAAGAUUGGAUGGCUGAAACAAGAGAAAUUUAUUUUCUCACAGUCCUGGAACUUAGAAGUUGAGGAUAAAGGUGUUCGUAGAGUUGAUCUCUUCCAAGGCCUUGUUCUUUGGCCUUGUGAGUGGCUACAAGGCCAAGUGGCUGUCCCUCGGUGCGCAUCUGUGCCCUAAUUCCCUCUUCUUAAAAGGACACAAGCCAGACAAGAUUAGGGCCCACCUCCAACCACCUGAUUGAACUCUAAUUACCUCCUUAAAGACCUUAUCUCCAAAUAUAACUACAUACUGACGUCCUGGAGGUUAGAACUCCAACGUAUGGAUUCGGUAGGGCUAUGGCUCAGCUCCUGACACCCCAUUCCUAAGCUCCGGAUGGCUGAGGCUGGAGAACUGAGGCUGGUAGCUCACUACUGGCCCUGAAAAUCUUCUGCUCCAAAAUAAUAUGCUUGAUUUCUGCUCUACUUCACCGGCCAAAGCCAGUCCCAUGGCCAUGCCUUCUCUUCAGAGGGAUGGGGAAAUGCUAUUCUCAUAUGAUCCUUCAAGGAAGACAACUAGGACUUCAUAUAAAGCCCCUAAUGAUUACCAGUGUCUAGCAUGGAGCCCCAGUAACUCCCUUUGUAGGUGGUCUGCCAAGAUGGCCACCGGUCAUUCUCGUCCUCUCUGGCCCUCUCCCCAUCAAGAAAUAGAGUCUAGGGCUGGGGAUGUGGCUCAAGCGGUAGCGCGCUCGCCUGGCAUGCGUAUGGCCCGGGUUCGAUUCUCAGCACCACAUACAAACAAAGAUGUUGUGUCCACUGAGAACUAAAAAAAAAUAAAUAUUAAAAUUCUCUCUCUCUCUCUCUCUCUCACUCUCUCUUAAAAAAAAAGAAAUAGAGUCUAUUCUCUUCCCUUGGAAUUUGGAUUGUCUUAUAGUUUGCUUUAUUCAACAGACUCUACAGGAGUUAAUGUUCUAGAUCUUUCCACCCUCAGACUCCAGAGGUCUGAUAACUUCUGCUUUUGCAGAAGGAAACCCAUGUAUGAUGAAGACAUUCUAGACACAUGAGGCAGCUCUCCGACAUCAUGAAAAGACUGAACCCCAGCCAGCCCUGACGGCUCUUUGAGCCACCCAACGGAGGCACCCGACAUGUGACCGAGGCCACCUUUAUUCUUCCAGCCCUACAGAGUCAACCUCGCUCACACCAGGCAGAGCAGAGACUCAUGUUGAAAUUUACCUCACCCCCACGGUGAGGGAUCAAGAGGUGAGACCCGGUGGACGCAUGAAGAGGAAAUCAGGUCAUUUAAUGGAUUAAAUGCAUUCAUGGAUUAAUGGAUUAUUGCAGAUGCAUAAAACCUAAUCCCAAACUGGCUUGAACCCAUUUUUGUGUGGGGGGGGUGCACCAUUGGACAGGGACGACGUCAGGCAUGGCUGGAUCCCGAUCCACCUCUUAGGUUUGCUUCCCCCGGAGAUUUCAAGCUGCAUGUUUGUGACUGGCCCAGUUUGGGUCCUGUGUGCAUUCCCGGGCCCACGGAUGUUGUCAGAAUAGAGAGCAGUUUGAUUAGCCAACCUGGGGUGGUGAUUCCCUCCAGACCCAGGGGUGGACCCAACAUACUGCAGGGACUGAAAACACGGGCGUGUGUUCUCAGAUGGCAAUCAAGAGCUCUUUCAGAAAAGGUGUGUGAGAUUAGCACCCUUCCUGACCCCAACCCUCCCUUCCCAUUUGGCCUGCCUCUGCUCUCUCCCAAAUACCUCAUUGCCUCCCCACCCUCAGCUUGAGCAGGUCCCUCCUCCACUUGGAAUGUCUUCCAUACCAGUGGAAGACAGCUGGGUUGCCGCCGAGGCUGGCCUCAAGCUUCUGUGAUCCUCCUGCCUCAGCCUCCUCAGCAGCUAGGAUUACAGGCAUGCACCACAGCACUCAGCUACAUUAAGCAUCUUGAGAUGACGAUCUUGCAUUGUCCCCGGGAGCCCUAAGUGCAGUCACAUGCAUACUUACAAGGGGGAGGUAGAGAGAGAGUCCUUGACACAGACAGAAGAAUCAGAGACAACAUGACCGUGGGGACAAAGUCUGCAGCCACCAAACAGGCUCCCCUUGAGCCUCAGCAGGAGCAUGGCCCUGAGGAUGCCUUGAUUUUGACCAUGGGAUACUGAUUUAAGUCUUUUGACCUCCAGAACUGCAAGAGAAUAAAUGCUUGUUGUUUUAAGCCCCUGGAUUAGAGAAAUUUGUCAUGGCAAUCCUAGGACACGAAUAUGGCUUUCCACGUUAUGAAGAAUGCGAUGUUAACGCCUGUAGGACCUGUGGUCUGACUCCUGCUCCUGCUCGCGCUCACAGAGGACAUCCGACUGCAGCUUGAACACUGCUGCCCCAGGGCCUUUGCACUUAUUCCCUCAGUCUGGCAUGCUCUAUCUUUGGGUUAUUCCAUUAUCUCCUUAGGGGAGAUCUUCCCUGACUAAAACAGCACUGCCCCACCCCCAGUCCCUUGUCAUUUUUUUUUUUUAAGUUCCCUUGAUUUUCUUUCUUUUUUUUUUAAAGAGAGAGAGAGAGACCAC